AAUUGUGGGUUUUUUUUUCCUCUCUCCCUUUCUUUCUUUUACAUUUACAAAACCCACCGCUAUCCCUUUUUAGGUUCUAAAUACGAAAUGCAUUGCUCAUUCAAACUUCGUUCGAGAAGGGAGAGGGGAAUAGGAAAUCAGACCACCACCUGGUGGAGGGGAAAAGCGUGGCUGUCUUGCUGGGGCCCAUCCAUUCGAGUUGUUCAAAAUUCAAAUAAAAAGAAAACUGUCGAAUUUUGAGAGAAAGUUUUCCAGACAGCCGCUUUUAGAUUGGUUCGUCGUGUGAAGGUGACAAUUCCAAAAUGCUUUUUUAGUUUAUUAUUAUCAUUUUUUUUUAAUAUUUUCUUUGAAUGUAUUGAUUCUAUAACCGAACCGGUUGAUUUCACUUGUUUCACUCGCGAUGGAGAGAAAUUUUUUUUCUUGCAUGUGAAGUGUUACGAGAAAGUGGUUUCCGCCCUUCACACUCAACCCGGGUUAUUAUAUGCCAAAAUUCGAUUGCCGUUCGUUGGCGCGGUUGUUGUGGUAGAGGCUUGCGAAACGCUCAAGAAAAAAACAAAAUUUCCUCAUUUUUUUAAAGUUCCGGACAGAUGUAAAAGCAUUUCGUUCUUCUUUCAUUUUUGUUUCCUUUCAUUGUGAUGAAAGAAAAUGCCUGCAAGAAUAAUUCAUCAAAAAUUAAUUGUUAGAAUAUAAUGAAGCAAGUGCUUCUCUCCUGUGCAGCUCUUAACACGAUCCCGCGUGAAGAUUCAGGCGUUGACCGCUCAAGGUGCGUUUGCGCAACUGUCUUCAUCUUGAGGACAUUCAACCUGUUUACCUCGAAUGUUUUUGUACCUGGCGAAUCAAAAUAGGCACUUCACUCUUAAUUGCUUUUUCUUCUUCUUCCCGAAAUAGGUGAUGGAUGAAGAUGAGAUUUUCUGAAUUAUUAUUUUAGAAAUGGCCGGUUGAAACGUAAUGACGCCCAUCACGUGUUUUUGCCAACUCAUGCUGAGUCAAUGACCGUGUCGGUUUAUGGACUGUGAAACAAAAUGAAAAACAGCAGAGGAAAAUUCUGUUUGGUUUCCUUUUAACCGAGCGUUACAGCCGUUGGAUUGUCGUGCCCGUGAAGCUGCUUGUGCCUCUUGUUGUUGCGUGAACGGCCGAUGAAGUAAGCAACGAU